CGGAACCGGCCCUUGGCUUCCCUCUCCCAAGCACAGAGCUCCCAGCCCCCCCUGGGCGUGGGGGAGGGGCAGUCGGCAUGCGGCUCUUCAGGCCCCAGACACACCGGUGCUCCCCUCCCCUCCUGGGCUUCUGGCUUAACUGCACUUCGGGGCCCUUAAGGGGAGCGGGAGCCAUGCCACUGAGACGUGGCUGAUGGAACGCAGGCAGGAGGGUCAAAGCCAGCUUCCAGACCCGGCCCAUGAAAUGCCCCCUGCAGGAUUCGCCCCACCCCUCUUUCUCUCUCUCUCCCCAUUCCCCGAGGACGCUGUGAGCCAUGCACCGAAGAAGGCAGCAGCUCCAAAGCAGAGCAAGCCGGGCCCCUGAAGGAAGUGUGGCAGGAAAUGGGGCGUGAGAGGAUGCUCCCGUUCCAGGUCUGAGGUUGCUUAUGAUCCACCAAGAGCAAACUCUGCUGUCAUCUUUGUAUGAAGAGCCUUAUUCAGAUCUCAAGAUCGAUGCACCGCCAGGCUAGUCUUGGGAGUGGGACUACAAGUCUCCCAUGUAUAUUCAGCAUCUGGGAACCAGGCUCUGCAUAAGGGAUAGUGCUUUGGAUUUUGCAGUUGCGGGUCUGGAGUUGUGGACCCAUCGUUAAGUCUUCAAUAAUAUACUCAUCUAAAAUAAAGAGCAGUUACGUAUUCCUUAAACUAUUUCUUUGUCUAAUACCAUGCAAAAUUAAUGAAGCAAUUUAAAAAUGUUCUGAAACCUCUCAGGAGAUUGUAUCUCAUUGUGGAAGGGGUUUGUUAUUUCUAAGAUUGGAACCUCCCGUAGUAAGAAUCAGAGCGAGAUUGCAGCCAUGCUGGGAAGGUCUUGGUACAGGAGCCCGGGACCCCUGUCCUGGAUCCUGGAAGUGAUGGAGAACCACUGAAGAAUUUGACCCCUGGGUACAGAAAUGCUUUCGGAGUGAGAGUUGGGAUCCAGAGGGAGGAGAACCAUUCUUGUUCGUCAUCUUUAACUCUGUCCCCUUUCUCUGCCUUGAGUUCUGGAAUAUUUGGACAAUCUCAGCACCCAGGUCAGAGAUUCCACAUAUAAGUGAUAUCAUAUGGAAGAAGCUUCUGCUUUAGAAAAGAGCUGAACUACAGUAUGCAGAGUCCCCCAAAAACUGAAAAUAGACUUACCUCAUGAUCCAGCAAUCCCACUCCUGGGCAUAUGUCCAGAGGGAACUCUAAUUCAAAAAGAUACAUGCACUUUAAUGUUCAUAGCAUCACUAUUUACAAUAGCCAAGACAUGGAAACAACCUAAAUGCUCAGAUCAACAGAUGACAGUUGUGGUAUAUUUAUACAAUGGAAUACUACUCAGCCAUAAAAAGAAUAAAAUAAUGUCAUUUGCAGCAACGUGGAUGGACCUGGAGAUCGUCAUUCUAAGUGAAGUAAGCCAGAAAGAGAAAAAAAAAUACCAUAUGAUAUCACUUAUAUGUGGAAUCUAAAAAAAAAAAAGAAAAAGAAAACAAAAAAGGAAGACACUAAUGAAUUUAUCUACAAAACAGAAACAGACUCACAGAUAUGGUACACAAACUUAUGCUUACCCGGAGUGGGGAAGGGAGGGAGAAGGGAUAAAUGAGGAGUUUGAGAAUUGCAAGUAUUAACUACUUUAUAUAAAAUAGACAAGAAAAAUUUCUUCUAUAUAGUACAGGGAACUAUAUUCAAUAUCUUGCAUAUCCUAUAAUGAAAAAGAAUAUGAAAAUGAAUAUUUGUAUGUAUAUGUAUGACUGAAACACUAUGCUAUACACCAGAAAUCAACACAUUGUAAAUGAUUAUACUUUAAUAAAAAUAAAUAAAUAAAUAAAUAAAUAAAUAAAUAAAUAAGCUGAACUAAGUGUCCUGGAGGCCAUGUGUGGCUCUGGGGGACACAGGACACGGACAUGGACAUGGAUGUGGAGAUAGCUUUCCUUAAGAUGGAAAAGGGGCAGAGACUUGGGUCCCCAGCAUGUGGGGGCCUUGCCUUGCUUCCCGCAGCAUCGGGCAGUGGCAGGUGUGUGGCUGGGCGCUGCUCCCAUCGGUGGCUGGACCCUGAGCCCAGAGCAUCGCCUGGAAGAAGGUCCCCUGUCCAAGCUUGGACGCUGAGUCAGUCAGCGGGUACCAGCGUGGACAGAUACGACAGACAGGAUAUGCGCUUCCAGGUCACUGCAAUUCCACCGGGUGGGGAAGGAGGCUCAGAAAAGGUGGCCGCUGAGUUUACCAACAGCCCUGUACUUGUGGGUACAGAGCAUGUGACACUUGCUUUCUAGAAAUAAAAAAUCGAGACAUUUCCUCUGCCUGGUGCAUUGGAGUAAAAGCCCCACAGUCUGUGAAACUCUCUAAGUCCCCCUGUGGGGUCAUCUGUCCUGACCCGCUUCCCUGGAGCCAGGUCACACCGGGUUGUCGGUCCUGCCCGUCCUUCUGUUUCCUUUCUUCUCAUCGACAGGGAAGGACGCGUUGCUCUGCUCUCACAGCCAAAGCGCGGAAUGUUCUUCCCAGGCUGUCUGCUCCCUGUUCCUCCGUCAGUCUUCCCGAUUUUGUCUUGGCCGCCUGGCUGCCGGGUUUCAGCAGCGAGUCUGAGACGCUGGGAAGGCGACAGCGUUCCAGCCGCGGCGCCCGGGCCCGCGGGACUGGCUAAGGCCGAGCUCCGCCCUCCACCCCUCUCUGCGCAAGCGCCCUGCGCACCGCAGCCUCGGAGCUCGCCUGCCGGGAGAGGUGGAGUCUAACUCCCCGCCCCUGGGACCUGGACUGGCCUCGGCACCUGCUCUGGCCACUAGAACGAGGAUGAGCUAAGUCUGAACGAGGCCUCGGGGGACAGAGGGCGCGUCCGCUCUAAAAACCUCUUGAUUCCAGGAGAAUAAGCCCAGCCCAGGCUGCUGGGGGCUGAGACGCCACGUGGCGGAGAGCGGAGGGUCCCCCCAGCCGAGCCCAUCAGACACCAAGCAGCCCAUCCCCUGUCACAGAUGCUGACGUCAGCCCGGCCGGGCCGAGCACCCCUCAGACUCGUGACAAACAACAAACGGAUGUUGUCUGAAGUCAUUAAGUUUCGGGGUCGUUGGUUACAUAGCAACAGUGAACCGAUGACGCUCACCCAUCUGGGACGUCCGGGGUUCUCCAGGAGUAUCAAAAACAAAACCAGCCGGGCACUCGUUAGAUCUCAAGGCAACUCGUUUUCUCGUUACGUAACAAGAUACGUGUAUUUUUAGUAAUCUAGAACGUCUCCUUGGCGCGCAGUGUGAUUCUUUCCAGUACAACAUCCUAUUUUGAUACACUAGGCUCCAGGAUUCAGAUUCACCAGACACAACUGAACGUUUAAAACUCCGCUGGCUUCAUGUUCCAGAUCUGGUUGAUCUAUGAUUCUUUUACAGAAUUAGAGCCUCGGCAUAUUUAUUCCAAAGAGGGCUUAAAUCAGGCGCUUCACCACCCGAGUUCCCGGGGAGGCGCACUGCCACAGACGCUUCUGAGAUUUAUGCCUUUUUGGCAUCUGGUGUGACUGGCAGUCAGAAUUUCUAAACUAACACCCAAGAUGUGCUCAGGCAGAGGAGCCUGGAUUUGCCUUCUUCUCUGUUUUUCACAAGAACAAGUCUCAGAUGGGGGCUUGGUGUCUGGGGUCACGCCUCUGUCACAGGACCAGGCUGUACGGCUUGCGUUUCGUUCCUAAAACAGUGAUUUUUAGUUUUUCAGUCAUCAGCAGAGACAAGAUACAGAAAUGUACCCUGGGGUCUUCAUAUGUUAUAUCAAGUUAAAAACUCUGAUCCUUCUGGUAAAGGAACAGGUUAAUGUUUCUGGGAAAAAUAUGAAAAUGAGAGCAAUGCAGAAGUCUCUGCAGUGGGAUUCAGACACUGGGUGAACACUGUUGACAUCUUUAAAAAAUUUUUUAAAAAACUUCUGUUCUAUCUAGAAACAGAGCUAGAAGGGGAAUAAAUCAAAGUGCCCAGAGACAAAAUGAAAAGAAAAAGACUAUCGUCUCUUUGAUUUCUUGCAGUUAACUCCAGAACUCAGGGCUCAACUCCCCUGCAAAACAGAAAAUAAAAAAAGACGUUUUGGUCUGAAAUGCUCACUGGGGAAGAGAGAGAGAGAGAUGGACCAAGGUUUAUUGAAUAUUAGCGUGUGGCAGGAUGAGUUUCUGGGUUGCAGGUUUCUUUCCAUCAGACUGUCAGGGAGCUAAAUGAUGCUGACCGCUGAGCCCAAAGGUGACAUUAUGGAUUUUAAAAUGAGGGCAGAGUUGAAAUGCCAGCAGUUUCAGUUUUGAUGCUGGAUCUCAACAGGAAAGAGAGGCACUGGGUCAUGUGUCAAGGCCAGAGGCCUCCCCCCAGGAUGAAGAGGAGAAAUAUUUGAUGAAAAAAGUAAGAUGAAAUGGAAAAACCCAAGUGGUGAGUGGUAGUUCUGAGGUUUCCAAAGAACAGAAAUUAAAA